rnacentral:rRNA from 1 species
GGGCCCGCACAAGCGGUGGAGUAUGUGGUUUAAUUCGAUGCAACGCGAAGAACCUUACCAGGGUUUGACAUCCUGCGAAUCUCUUGGAAACAGGAGAGUGCCUUCGGGAACGCAGUGACAGGUGGUGCAUGGCUGUCGUCAGCUCGUGUCGUGAGAUGUUGGGUUAAGUCCCGUAACGAGCGCAACCCCUAUCCCUGGUUGCUAGCAGGUAAUGCUGAGAACUCCAGGGAGACUGCCGGUGACAAACCGGAGGAAGGUGGGGAUGACGUCAGGUCAUCAUGCCCCUUACAUCCUGGGCUACACACGUACUACAAUGCUACGGACAAAGGGCAGCAAGUUCGCGAGGACAAGCAAAUCCCAUAAACCGUGGCUCAGUUCAGAUCGUAGGCUGCAACUCGCCUACGUGAAGGCGGAAUCGCUAGUAAUCG